GAUGAACGCUGGCGGCGUGCCUAAUACAUGCAAGUAGAACGCUGAAGCUUGGUGCUUGCACCGAGCGGAUGAGUUGCGAACGGGUGAGUAACGCGUAGGUAACCUGCCUCUUAGCGGGGGAUAACUAUUGGAAACGAUAGCUAAUACCGCAUAAAAGUCGAUAUCGCAUGAUGUUGAUUUGAAAGGUGCAAUUGCAUCACUAAGAGAUGGACCUGCGUUGUAUUAGCUAGUUGGUGAGGUAACGGCUCACCAAGGCGACGAUACAUAGCCGACCUGAGAGGGUGAUCGGCCACACUGGGACUGAGACACGGCCCAGACUCCUACGGGAGGCAGCAGUAGGGAAUCUUCGGCAAUGGGGGCAACCCUGACCGAGCAACGCCGCGUGAGUGAAGAAGGUUUUCGGAUCGUAAAGCUCUGUUGUAAGAGAAGAACGAGUGUGAGAGUGGAAAGUUCACAC
rnacentral:rRNA from 1 species